rnacentral:rRNA from 1 species
AACGCGAAGAACCUUACCUGGGCUCGAAAUGUAGUGGACCGGGGUAGAAAUAUCCCUUCCUAGCAAUAGGCUGCUAUAUAGGUGCUGCAUGGCUGUCGUCAGCUCGUGUCGUGAGAUGUUGGGUUAAGUCCCGCAACGAGCGCAACCCUUAUUACCAGUUGCUACCAUUUAGUUGAGCACUCUGGUGAGACCGCCUCGGAUAACGGGGAGGAAGGCGGGGAUGACGUCAAGUCCUCAUGGCCUUUAUGUCCAGGGCUACACACGUGCUACAAUGGCCGGUACAAACCGUCGCAAACCCGCGAGGGGGAGCUAAUCGGAAAAAGCCGGCCUCAGUUCGGAUUAGAGUCUGCAACUCGACUCUAUGAAGCUGGAAUCGCUAGUAAUCGCGGAUCAGAAUGCCGCGGUGAAUACGUUCCCGGGCCUUGUACACACCGCUGUA